rnacentral:rRNA from 1 species
GACGAACGCUGGCGGCGUGCUUAACACAUGCAAGUCGAACGAGAAGAGAUGAGAAGCUUGCUUCUUAUCAAUUCGAGUGGCAAACGGGUGAGUAACGCGUAAGCAACCUGCCCUUCAGAUGGGGACAACAGCUGGAAACGGCUGCUAAUACCGAAUACGUUCUUUUUGUCGCAUGGCAGAGAGAAGAAAGGGAGGCUCUUCGGAGCUUUCGCUGAAGGAGGGGCUUGCGUCUGAUUAGGUAGUUGGUGGGGUAACGGCCCACCAAGCCGACGAUCAGUAGCCGACCUGAGAGGGUGACCGGCCACAUUGGGACUGAGACACGGCCCAA